rnacentral:rRNA from 1 species
GUGGGGAAUCUUGCGCAAUGGGCGAAAGCCUGACGCAGCCAUGCCGCGUGAAUGAUGAAGGUCUUAGGAUUGUAAAAUUCUUUCACCGGGGACGAUAAUGACGGUACCCGGAGAAGAAGCUCCGGCUAACUUCGUGCCAGCAGCCGCGGGAAUACGAAGGGGGCUAGCGUUGCUCGGAAUUACUGGGCGUAAAGGGCGCGUUGGCGGACAGCUUAGUCAGAGGUGAAAGCCCAGGGCUCAACCUUGGAAUUGCCUUUGGUACUGGCUGUCUUGAGUUUGGGAGAGGUGAGUGGAACUCCGAGUGUAGAGGUGAAAUUCGUAGAUAUUCGGAAGAACACCAGUGGCGAAGGCGACUCACUAGACCAAUACUGACGCUGAGGCGCGAAAGCGUGGGGAGCAAACAGGAUUAGAAACCCUAGUAGUCC